AUUGAACGCUGGCGGCAUGCUUUACACAUGCAAGUCGAACGGGCUGGGGGCGAACUCCAGUCAGUGGCGAACGGGUGAGUAAUACAUCGGAACGUACCUCGUAGUGGGGGAUAACUCGGCGAAAGCCGUGCUAAUACCGCAUAUGCUCUACGGAGGAAAGCAGGGGACCGCAAGGCCUUGUGCUAUGGGAGCGGCCGAUGUCCGAUUAGCUAGUUGGUGAGGUAAGGCUCACCAAGGCGACGAUCGGUAGCUGGUCUGAGAGGAUGAUCAGCCACACUGGGACUGAGACACGGCCCAGACUCCUACGGGAGGCAGCAGUGGGGAAUUUUGGACAAUGGGGGCAACCCUGAUCCAGCCAUGCCGCGUGCGGGAAGAAGG
rnacentral:rRNA from 1 species